rnacentral:rRNA from 1 species
GACGAACGCUGGCGGCGUGCUUAACACAUGCAAGUCGAACGGAAAGGCCCUGCUUUUGUGGGGUGCUCGAGUGGCGAACGGGUGAGUAACACGUGAGUAACCUGCCCUUGACUUUGUGAUAACUUCAGGAAACUGGGGCUAAUACCGGAUAGGAGCUCCUGCUGCAUGGUGGGGGUUGGAAAGUUUCGGCGGUUGGGGAUGGACUCGCGGCUUAUCAGCUUGUUGGUGGGGUAGUGGCUGACCAAGGCUUUGACGGGUAGCCGGCCUGAGAGGGUGACCGGCCACAUUGGGACUGAGGUACGGCCCAGAAUCCUACGGGAGGCAGCAGUGGGGAAUAUUGCACAAUGGGCGGAAGCCUGAUGCAGCAACGCCGCGUGCGGGAUGACGGCCUUCGGGUUGUAAACCGCUUUGGCCUGUGACGAAGCGUGAGUGACGGUAAUGGGUAAAGAAGCACCGGCUAACUACGUG